UUGUAACUUUCUUUGUGUGCAGAUGUGUGUUUUUUAUUUCAAUUUACUGCCGUAAUCAUUACGCCUUGCACUUGAUUCGGAAUUAAGGUGAUUGCACUCCCUUUACCGAUGUUGUGUUUCGUUUAUUAAAAAACAGUGUAGGUGCGACAUUGAUUAAAAUAGCCACAAGAGUGCACAGAAGUAUCUUCAUUGUGAUAUUGAACCAGUUAUACGUGUGAGUUCCAAACGUUAACGACGCGACAGUAUGGCUUUUGUCGUAAAUUUAGUCAGGUGCUCCUUGAAAGUAAUUAACCGUAACACAUCAAUAGGGCUAGUAAAAAACCUUAGCAAAUUCGAUUACUGCCAGCGUGUAACCAAUAACAACACGACAGUGUUAACGAAUCAACAGUUCCUACGCACAUUUUCCAUUGGGACACAGCUGCAGCAAGAUGUGAACAUUACGUUUUUGCGCGCCAACGGCCAGAAGAUAGAGACAAAGGGCAAGGUGGGCGACACGUUACUGGAUGUGGUGGUAAAUAAUCAUAUCGAUUUGGAUGGUUUUGGUGCAUGCGAGGGUACUUUGACAUGCUCCACUUGCCAUUUAAUUUUUACAUCUGAGGAUUUCGAAAAACUACCAGAUAAAGCCAGCGAUGAAGAAUUGGAUAUGUUGGAUUUGGCAUACGACCUUACAGAUACUUCACGUCUAGGCUGCCAAAUAACACUAACAAAGGACAUGAAUGGACUGGUUGUUAAAGUACCAGCAACAAUUAAUGAUGCCCGUAGCGCGUAACAGUUGAUCGAAAUAUGAAAAAUACGUAUGGACAUACAAUUUGGACAGUUUGACUUGAAUGUGGAAAUUAUAAUACUGUAGCAUAUCGAUAAAGGCAGAUAAGACGAAAUUUGUCCGGAUGUCGCUUGCAUAAAUGAAUAACAUAAGUAUUUGUGUACACAAAUGUAAAUAAUUGAAAUGUACAUAUUAAAUACCCAUCUAUUCAAACUUAGUAGUAGUAGGUUUACAUCUUUACCGAUGAUUGCUAACUAUGCCCGUAAGAACAAAGCAAUGACAGAUUUUAUUAAAAACGUAGCAAAAAUUUA
rnacentral:misc_RNA from 1 species